rnacentral:rRNA from 1 species
UACGAAGGGUGCAAGCGUUACUCGGAAUUACUGGGCGUAAAGCGUGCGUAGGUGGUUUGUUACGUCUGCUGUGAAAGCCCCGGGCUCAACCUGGGAAUGGCAGUGGAUACUGGCAAGCUAGAGUGCGGUAGAGGGGUGUGGAAUUCCCGGUGUAGCGGUGAAAUGCGUAGAGAUCGGGAGGAACACCAGUGGCGAAGGCGGCACCCUGGACCAGCACUGACACUGAGGCACGAAAGCGUGGGGAGCAAACAGG